UACAGAGGGGGCAAGCGUUGUUCGGAAUUACUGGGCGUAAAGGGCGCGUAGGCGGCCUGCUAAGUCGAACGUGAAAUCCCCGGGCUCAACCCGGGAACUGCGUCCGAUACUGGUAGGCUUGAAUUCGGGAGAGGGAUGCGGAAUUCCAGGUGUAGCGGUGAAAUGCGUAGAUAUCUGGAGGAAUACCGGUGGCGAAGGCGGCAGCCUGGACCGAGACUGACACUGAUGAGCGAAAGCCAGGGGAGCAAACGGG
rnacentral:rRNA from 1 species